UUGAAGCCUUUGGCCAAUUUCUCACUAAACUCUCACAACCUCUCUCCUCAAGCUAGAAUUAAGGUCCAAAUCUCAAGUUUAAGGCUUCAAAUCUUUAAGGUAACCUCCCUAACAUGUUAUUCAACAUCUUUAGCCUUCAAAUUGAUGAAUUAAUUGAGUUUUGGGACCAAGAACAUGAGUUUACGGCCAAGGAGCAAGCUUGGGCCGUAAACUCCAUUAAAUGGGGUUUUUAAGCCAAAUUACCCUUCCAAAUCAAAGUUGGGACUUAGAUAUGACUAUAAGGCUUGCAAAUCUAGACUUAAAACAAUUAAAACAUGAAUUAUGAGGGAAAAAAGAGAGUUUACGGCCAAGGUAUGUUCUUGGGCCGUAAACUCCUCUUUAAUGGGGAUUUAGUGCCUUUAAACAUGUCCAAAUGCUUUGAAACUCAACCAAUGGCCUUGUGGUAAAAUCUAGAUGCAUCUAAAAAUAGUUUAAAGGUUUGAAACAUAUCAAAAAUGUCAUUUAUAGGAGUUUACGGCCUAGGAACACACCCUUGGCCGUAAACUCAUAAAAUCAUGUUAAUGAUGCAUCAAAUACACUCAUAUGGCUUGUAUAAAUUUCUAGAAUCACAUGUGAUUGUUUUAAGCAUCAAAAACUAACUUUUUCAUGGGUAUAAGAGAGUUUACGGCCUUAGAACAUACCUCUAGGCCGUAAACUCCAAAAAGUGUGUUGAAUGAUGUUCUAAAUUCAUAACAAGGCUUGGAAAAUUAACUAGAAUCACAUGUGAUUGUCUUUUGAAGCUCAAAUCAAUUUUCCUUGGCCAUAGGUGAGUUUACGGCCGUAAACUCUUAUGGGGUGGCCGUAAACUCCCAAUUAAGUGUUAAAAUUUCAUACAAUCCAUUCCAAGGCAUUUUAGAAAUCCAUUCCAACAAUCCCCAUGUCCAUUUAAGCCCUUAAACAAUCAAAAUCACACCAACAUGAGUUUACGGUCGUAAACUCAUGUGUGGGUGUGUUUUGUGGUUGUAAACUCAUUUAAAUGUUUACUUAUGGAGAGUAAACUCAAGUCCCAAGUCCCUAGUGCCAUUACACGUCCGAAGAUGUCACCCGGGUCACUCCAAAUGCUCAUUUUGAGGUGUUUAACCUCGUUGGAGUGUAAUGUUCCAUAUGAUUAGUGAAUGUAUCCCUAAUUGUAUAUAUAUGGACAUUAUUUCAUUUUACAUAGGGACAUCGCGAGUAAACAAUCCUCGAAUCAACGUCUAGUAUCCAAAACCGACACAUUCCCGAGUCCGGUGAGUUCAUACCCCUACCCUUUUCACUGUUUUUCACUGUUUUCAGGGGGGAAACACAAGCAAAGUACAAGGGUUUUCUUGUACUCAAAACUUAUUUUCAUGUGUGUACUUCACAUUUCAUAUGCUUUUAAUAUUGAUUACACAACUGAUAACGAGUUGAAUACACAGAUUACUUAAACAUUUAUUUGUGAAAUGAGUUUUAUAAACUGUUAUGUUUUAUAUAUUUCACAAAUGGUUUCCACAUUUUAUCAGUUAAAAGCAUGACUUAUAACACAUGAAUAAUAUAUUUUGUACACUGUCUUGUCCUCGGUAACAUUCCACAGAAAUACGUGAAUGGAGGAUUACCCUAUUAUUACUAGUAAAUUUGUUAUUCUGUAUGAUUGGAGACACGUCCUCGGCAAACACUCCACAGAGAUACGCGAGUGGAGGACUACACCCGUAACCAGAAUCUCUGGAAUUUAGAGAGCGUGACUUGAGUGUAUAGAUCUAUACGGGGCUGACUACCCCACACCUGGCUGCUAGCUACAGCCGAACCGAAAUGGUUCAAGGGUGACGAAAGUCAUAAGGAUUGUGGACUACUUAUUGCCACAAGGCUGUGGACUACUUAUUGCCACAGGUUCAGUCUUUAGUAUGGUUAUGGAACUCGCAACUAGGAUAACAGAGAUUUACUUAUAGUAAUAAUGAACCACAUACUACAUUUUACAGAUAACCAGGAUUCAGUUUACAUCUUUUACAAAUGAUAACCAACAUUCAGGAAGGUAUGGGACCUUCCUGGGAAAUCUUGUACAUAACCAGGUCUAACAGAAUACAUCUUUCACAUUGAAAACCAACAUACAGGAAAGCAUGGGGCAUUCCUAGGUAACAUACACAUAACCAGAAAAGUGUAACCAAUUGUAUAUCAUUACAUCUUUUACAAUAAUUAACUAUUUAGGAAAGUAUAGGACUUUCCUGGGAAUACACUGGUACAUAAAAGCAAUAGAACAAUGAAUUGGAUAAUCAAACUAUACUUUACUUUUAUGAUACAACAACCAACUUUUAAGAAAAUAUGGGAUUUUCUUGGCGUGUGUUACAUUUUCAGAAACAGAAAGGAAACAUAAACAUUUUCACAAAACAAAACUACUUAUGAACUCACCAGCGUUAUGCUGAUUUUCAAACUGCUUGUGUUCUCAGGUCAACGAUAGUACAGGUACCCGAAGACUUACUUGGUUCAGGAUCGUGUGCGUGCAAGGCUCGUUCGUUUUGUUUAUAUCUAUAUUAUGUAUCACAACUGUAUAAACUGUGUCUUUUGAAACAAAUUGUAAAACUUUUAAUAUGUAAUGUAAUGUUUGUUUCACUUUACUUACUAUGUACAUUGGAUUUGAUACUCAACGUGGAGUCAACCCCGGAAAUGUUUCCGCCUUCGGUUUUCGGGGUGUGACAAAAUGGUAUCAGAGCCCUUGUUUAUAGUGAAUAAAGUAUACCAAACCUUACAUGGUAUAAAACUAUAAACACUAAAGGGCCUAAGUGCUCUGAAAUAAAAGUAUCUUCAGACUACAAGUAUUUUCAAAAAUAUACAAGUAUACCGAACCGUCGAGAUUCGUAUCUAUAAGUAGAACAAAACAUAAGUAAAUGGGUGUUGUGUAUUGCAGUUAAACCUGGGCAGUUAUGUAGUCGUGUCUAGGGUCAAUAUAGCCUGGCCAACUAUAUUCAUUCGAGACACGGCCAACAUGUGCUUGGGAGUGAUUGUGGUAUGCGGCAUGCCUAAAACUUACCCUAAUACCACAAACAUCGAGCCAGUAUCGUAGCAAACCAUGAAAUACUAUGGGAGUAUUUCUCGAAUCAUCGUACAUGUAUAGACCCCCGAUCAUUCCGUUAGCGAUAGUUUACUUGCUUCAAUAACUCUUUCCUGCUUUACCGCUUAAUUGGAAUUAAUAUCUGUCAUAUCUCUCGAUUCAGAGGACUUAUCAUCCUCUCUCUUUAUUGAUCUUAUUAGAUCAAGAUGCCUCCCAGGAAGAGACCCAGCUCCAACAACCCUCCGCCACCUCCUCCUGAAAUCGAUCCCGUGUUAUUUCAAACAGCUGUUACCGCCGCGGUGGCAGCUGCCAUGUCCCAGCUAAAUACCGGUGGUUCAGGAGGUAGUAAUCAAAAUCAAGAUGGUAAUCAGGAACGCCGUAAGGAGGGUUCCUAUAAGGACUUCAUGAAUGCGAAGCCUUCUUUCUUCAAUGGCACUGGUGGUGUCAUUUCCUUAUCCCGAUGGUUCGAGAGAAUCGAAUCCAUCUUCGAAAUUUGUGCCUGUGAUGAGUCCGAUAAGGUCAAGUUCGCAGCUUGUACCUUCCUUGAUAAAGCAUUGACUUGGUGGAAUGGCCGAGUCAAAUCCUUAACUCUCCCUGUAGCCAAUGCCAUGGGCUGGGAGGCUAUGAAAGAACUCCUCCUUGCUGAAUAUUGUCCCCGAGGUGAAAUGCAAAAGCUAGAGCACGAGCUCUGGAACCUGAAGAUGAAAGGUUCCGAUAUUGCUGCCUACACUUCCCGAUUUGAUGAUCUUGCCCUUCUUUGCCCUGGUCUAGUCACCCCUGAAAGCAAAAAGAUCGAGAGGUUUAUUUGGGGGUUAACCAAUCCGACAAAAGGUCAUGUCUUAGCUGCUCGCCCAGAUACUUAUGAUAGUGCUAAGACUUUAGCCCAAGCUAUAAUUCACCACAGUGAUGAUGUUGAGGAAGCCACCACUGCUACCCCUGAGUCGACCAAAAGCAGUGGUGAGAAAAGAAAAUUCUGGAAGAAGAAGAAGGGUCAAUCUUCCCAAGGCUCCUCCAAAAGACAACAAACAGUAGCAGUUCAUGCUGCUACUACCCCCGUAGCUGCUGCUUCUGUUGUGGGAUCCACAGCACCAACUCCUACCAGCCGAUAUGUUGGUAACCUCCCUCUUUGUGAAAAAUGCAAGUAUCACCACAACCCUGGUCCCUGUCGAGAACUAUCCUGUACCAAUUGUGGUAAGAAGGGGCACACUGUUCGAUACUGCAAAGCUCCGACUCAAUCAGCAAAUCAAUCCUCUGGAACAGGCGUUGGUCAAGCCUGUUAUAACUGUGGUGAGGCCGGGCACUUUAAAAGGAACUGCCCCAAGAAGACUACUGCUGGCAACACCGGAAGGGUCCUUGCUAUGGGACGGGAAGAAGCAGUUGCCGAUCCCAAUGUUGUCUCGGGUACGUUUCUUCUCGACAACUCGUAUGCUAAUAUUCUUUUCGAUUCGGGUGCUGAAAGAAGUUUUAUUAGUCAUGCAUUCAAACAUAACCUAAAACAUGAUUCCCAACCUCUAACCGAAAUGUUUACCGUCGAAAUGGCAAACGGAGAGAAAGAAAGUGCGAGUGAGGUAUUCGUAGAUUGCACUCUUACCUUAAACGACCAUUCAUUUCCUAUCGAUCUUAUGCCCGUAUCCAUAAAGAGCUUUGAUGUCAUUAUUGGCAUGGAUUGGUUGAGUCCCAAUCAUGCAGAUAUCCUUUGCUUCGAAAAAGCCAUCCGUCUUAACCUUCCUUCGGGUCAAACUCUAGUGAUCUAUGGCGAUAAACUCGGUUCCAACCUUCGUAUCAUUUCCUGCAUCAAAGCUCAGAAACUCCUGCGAAAGGAGUGUAUUGCAUUCUUAGCCCAUGUAAUCAAUGAGAAACAAGAAGUUAAAGACCUCGCGAGCAUCCCCGAGGUCUGUAAUUUUCCUGAUGUGUUUCCCGAAGAGCUUCCAGGAAUUCCUCCCGAACGUCAGGUCGAGUUCCGUAUUGACCUAAUUCCUGGGGCUACUCCUGUAGCGAAGUCUCCGUAUCGCUUAGCUCCAGCAGAGAUGCAGGAGUUAUCCAGUCAACUUAACGAGUUGCUUAACAAAGGAUUCAUUAGACCGAGUUCCUCACCCUGGGGAGCUCCGGUUUUGUUUGUCAAGAAGAAGGAUGGAUCCUUUCGUAUGUGUAUUGAUUAUCGUGAGCUAAACAAGUUGACUGUCAAAAACCGAUAUCCUCUUCCUCGAAUAGAUGACCUUUUCGAUCAACUCCAGGGAGCCAGUUACUUCUCUAAGAUAGACCUUCGGUCAGGGUACCAUCAGUUGCGAGUUCAUGAAAGUGAUGUGCCCAAAACAGCUUUCAGGACUCGAUAUGGACACUACGAGUUCGUAGUGAUGCCCUUCGGUUUAACCAACGCACCGGCAGUGUUUAUGGAUCUGAUGAACCGGGUGUGUCGUCCUUAUUUGGAUAAGUUUGUCAUAGUAUUCAUCGAUGACAUACUCGUCUAUUCCCGAAGUGAAGAAGACCACAAACAACACUUGAGGUUAGUGUUGGAGACCCUGCAAUCCGAGAAGUUAUACGCGAAGUUUUCAAAAUGUGAGUUCUGGAUACGGAAGGUAACUUUCCUUGGUCAUGUGAUAAGUGAGGAAGGUAUUCAUGUUGAUCCUUCCAAGAUUAAGGCAAUAGAGAAUUGGUCAGCACCGAAGACACCCACAGAAAUCCGACAAUUCUUGGGUCUCGCUGGCUAUUAUCGAAGGUUCAUCCAAAACUUUUCCCGAAUCGCCAAACCUCUAACCACUCUAACACAGAAAGGUGUACCCUUUUGUUGGAGUGAUAAACAAGAGACCGCAUUUCAGACGUUGAAGAAAGCUCUGUGCAGCGCGCCUGUCCUAUCCCUACCCGAAGGGACAGAGGACUUUGUUGUCUACUGCGAUGCGUCUACUCAAGGUUUAGGUUGUGUGCUUAUGCAGAGAGGAAAAGUGAUUGCUUAUGCCUCUAGGCAGUUGAAAACACACGAGGUCAACUAUACCACACACGACUUGGAGCUAGGAGCCGUAGUUUUUGCAUUGAAGAUUUGGAGGCAUUACCUUUACGGAACCAAGUGCACGAUCUUUACUGAUCAUAAGAGCCUGCAACAUAUCUUUGACCAAAAAGACCUGAACAUGAGACAAAGGCGAUGGGUAGAACUACUCAGUGAUUAUGAGUGUGAAAUCCGCUACCAUCCCGGCAAGGCCAAUGUGGUAGCAGAUGCCCUUAGCCGAAAGGAGAGUACCAGCAACAAAGUGAAGAGUCAGUCGAUAACCAUCCAUUCCAAUCUACCCGUGCAAAUCCGAGAAGCUCAAUUAGAAGCCCUGAAACCUGAGAACGUGACAACCGAAGCUUUGAGAGGGAUGGAAAAGAAACUUGAGAUCAGAAGUGACGGAGUCCAGUGUUUUAUGGAUCGAAUCUGGAUUCCCAAGUCUGGAGGAUUAAGAGAGUUAGUCAUGGAGGAAGCACAUAGAACCAAAUACUCUGUUCACCCGGGCUCUGACAAGAUGUACUUAGAUCUCAAGAAACAAUAUUGGUGGCCAAACAUGAAAGCUGAGAUAGCUACAUUUGUGGGCAAGUGCUUGACUUGCGCCAAAGUCAAAGUCGAACAUCAGAAACCUUCAGGUCUGCUUCAACAACCCGAGAUCCCCGAGUGGAAAUGGGAAAUGAUUACCAUGGACUUCAUCACCAAACUACCCAAGUGUUCUAGUGGGUACGAUACCAUUUGGGUAAUUGUCGAUCGUUUGACAAAAUCCGCUCACUUCAUUCCAAUUAAAGAAUCAUACAAGAUGGAAAGACUUGCGCGAAUCUACAUCCAGGAGGUAGUACGUCUACACGGUGUACCUGUAUCCAUUAUCUCUGAUCGAGAUAGCAGGUUUACUUCCAGAUUCUGGCAAUCCCUUCAGAAAGCCCUUGGAACCCAACUAGACAUGAGCACGGCAUACCAUCCUCAGACUGACGGUCAAAGCGAGAGAACAAUCCAAACUCUGGAGGACAUGCUUAGGGCAUGUGUCAUUGACUUUGGAAAGUCGUGGGACGCACAUCUACCAUUGAUCGAAUUCUCGUACAACAACAGUUACCACACCAGCAUUAGGGCUGCCCCGUUCGAAGCCCUAUACGGUCGCAAGUGCAGAUCCCCUCUGUGCUGGGCAGAGGUAGGAGAUACACAGUUAGCCAAGAGUCGAGUCCCCGACAGCACACUUACUGGUCCUGAAAUCAUCCGUGAAACCACUGAGAAAAUUAUCCAAAUCCGUGAACGAUUAAAGGCCUCGCGCGAUCGUCAGAAGAGUUACGCUGAUAAUCAUCGGAAACCACUAGAAUUCCAGGUCGGGGACCGUGUUCUGUUGAAGGUCUCGCCCUGGAAAGGCACUGUACGCUUCGGUAAACGUGGGAAACUUAAUCCGAGGUACAUUGGACCUUUUGAAAUCAUCGCCAGAGUUGGUCCGGUAGCCUAUAAGCUUCAUUUACCUCACGAACUUAGUAACAUCCAUCCCGUCUUUCAUGUUUCAAACCUCAAGAAGUGCCUAUCCGAUGAAACCCUAGUAAUUCCAUUAGACGAGAUUGAGAUCGAUGAAAACCUCAACUUUGUGGAGGAACCAAUCGAAAUCAUGGAUCGAGAAGUCAAACGUACGAAACAGAGUCGCAUCCCGUUGGUGAAGGUUCGCUGGAUUGCCAAGCGGGGACCGGAGUUCACGUGGGAACGAGAAGACUCAAUGAAACAAAAAUAUCCACAACUCUUUCUAAGUCCAUGAUUUGUUUUUUUUUAUCUUAUUCCUGUCUUGAAUUUUGGGACGAAAUUCCCUCUAACGGGGGGAUAAUGUAACAACCCGAAAUUUCAUUGUCACUUCUUGUACCACAACUUGUAAUCCAAUCCGAUCAACCAGACGUCAUUUUCAAUUUUGUUUCAAAUUUCGCCAUUUUAUUAAGUCAUUAGUUUAUAUUGACCUAAAAUGACUUAAUGGGUGUCUUAAUACAUUUAGAAAUCAUUUUAACACCCCACUUUAGUGAUCGGAAUAAUUAUAGAAUCGGCCAUAUCGAGUCACGACAAUUUGGUCGGGUAUGACCAAAAGCCUCACUUAACGUCAGUAUCGGGUAGAAUUCCGUCGUGUCCAAUUCCCGAACACUAUAUAAAGUGUUUUAAGACUUCAUUUGAAGCCUUUGGCCAAUUUCUCACUAAACUCUCACAACCUCUCUCCUCAAGCUAGAAUUAAGGUCCAAAUCUCAAGUUUAAGGCUUCAAAUCUUUAAGGUAACCUCCCUAGCAUGUUAUUCAACAUCUUUAGCCUUCAAAUUGAUGAAUUAAUUGAGUUUUGGGACCAAGAACAUGAGUUUACGGCCAAGGAGCAAGCUUGGGCCGUAAACUCCAUUAAAUGGGGUUUUUAAGCCAAAUUACCCUUCCAAAUCAAAGUUGGGACUUAGAUAUGACUAUAAGGCUUGCAAAUCUAGACUUAAAACAAUUAAAACAUGAAUUAUGAGGGACAAAAGAGAGUUUACGGCCAAGGUAUGUUCUUGGGCCGUAAACUCCUCUUAAAUGGGGAUUUAGUGCCUUUAAACAUGUCCAAAUGCUUUCAAACUCAACCAAUGGCCUUGUGGUAAAAUCUAGAUGCAUCUAAAAAUAGUUUAAAGGUUUGAAACAUAUCAAAAAUGUCAUUUAUAGGAGUUUACGGCCUAGGAACACACCCUUGGCCGUAAACUCAUAAAAAUCAUGUUAAUGAUGCAUCAAAUACACUCAUAUGGCUUGUAUAAAUUUCUAGAAUCACAUGUGAUUGUUUUAAGCAUCAAAAACUAACUUUUUCAUGGGUAUAAGAGAGUUUACGGCCUUAGAACAUACCUCUAGGCCGUAAACUCCAAAAAGUGUGUUGAAUGAUGUUCUAAAUUCAUAACAAGGCUUGGAAAAUUAACUAGAAUCACAUGUGAUUGUCUUUUGAAGCUCAAAUCAAUUUUCCUUGGCCAUAGGUGAGUUUACGGCCGUAAACUCUUAUGGGGUGGCCGUAAACUCCCAAUUAAGUGUUAAAAUUUCAUACAAUCCAUUCCAAGGCAUUUUAGAAAUCCAUUCCAACAAUCCCCAUGUCCAUUUAAGCACUUAAACAAUCAAAAUCACACCAACAUGAGUUUACGGCCGUAAACUCAUGUGUGGGUGUGUUUUGUGGUUGUAAACUCAUUUAAAUGUUUACUUAUGGAGAGUAAACUAAAGUCCCAAGUCCCUAGUGCCAUUACACAUCCGAAGAUGUCACCCGGGUCACUAAAUGCUCAUUUUGAGGUGUUUAACCUCGUUGGAGUGUAAUGUUCCAUAUGAUUAGUGAAUGUAUCCCUAAUUGUAUAUAUAUGGACAUUAUUUCAUUUUACAUAGGGUCAUCACGAGUAAACAAUCCUCGAAUCAACGUCUAGUAUCCAAAACCGACACAUUCCCGAGUCCGGUGAGUUCAUACCCCUACCCUUUUCACUGUUUUUCACUGUUUUCAGGGGGGA
rnacentral:lncRNA from 1 species